AGACCGGCACCUGUCCCAGGAACUCAGGAACCAGGUGCCUGUCCAGCUGUGUGCCUGGCAUCCCGCCGUUCUAGAAGCGUGACACCUGGCAUCUCUGUUCCCCAUUACUCCGCUCCGUGGGUCCGUUCAUUAGGUCUCUACCUUU
rnacentral:lncRNA from 1 species